rnacentral:lncRNA from 1 species
CUGUCACCUGCUGUCACCCGCUGAUUACUCUCCAAAUGCAAAGUUCAUUUCCGUCCUGUCACCCGCUGAUUACUCACCCGCUGUCACCUGCAGGAUGGUUUCUUGCUUUAUUUCCGUCCUGUCACCCGCUGAUUACUCUCCAAAUGCAAAGUUCAUUUCCGCUUUGGUGGCAGACCUAUUGUCUUUGUUACUGAUUUAUGUGCACUUACGCCAUGCCUUGGGACAUUCAGUUGUUACUGUUAUUCUUCAAAUACUCUGAAUCUGUGUGUCAAGGGGGGCAGAUUUGGAGCAAAACUUUGAAUUCAUGGUAAGCAUAGGACGGUUUCCCUGAUUCAGAGUUGCGGCAUAUAAUAGUCUUCACACAAAUGCAGCUUAUAAUCAAAAAAAAAA